CGAGGAAUCUUGGGCAAUGGGCGCAAGCCUGACCCAGCGACGCCGCGUGGAGGAUGACGGCCCUUGGGUUGUAAACUCCUUUUCUGGGGGACGAAGCCCGCAAGGGUUGACGGUACCCCAGGAAUCAGCCACGGCUAACUACGUGCCAGCAGCCGCGGUAAUACGUAGGUGGCGAGCGUUGUCCGGAUUUAUUGGGCGUAAAGCGCGCGCAGGCGGUACGCCGCGUCCGGUGUGAAAUCUCCCGGCUCACCUGGGAGGGGGCGCUGGAAACGGGCGGACUGGAGGCAGGCAGAGGUCGGUGGAAUUCCCGGUGUAGUGGUGAAAUGCGUAGAGAUCGGGAGGAACACCAGUGGCGAAAGCGGCCGACUGGGCCUGUCCUGACGCUGAGGCGCGAAAGCGUGGGGAGCGAACCG
rnacentral:rRNA from 1 species